CAGCUCACUACAACCUCCCUUCAGGAAGUUAUAGAGAGCUGUAAGGUCUCCCCUGAGCCUCCUCCAGGCUGGACAUUCCCAGCUCCUUCAGCUUCUCCUCAAGAAGAGCAUGUUUCUUGGAAAUAGCACCCAGUUCCCUCAGAAACCUCAAGCCAUGUCACAUUCACACCCAGCCACGUCAAGGUGGCUUCUAGGCCUGACACUCGCUGCUGUGAAGGAGAAUGGGAUCCAGCUGCCCAGCUGUCUUCAGGAGAGCUGCCGAAGCAGAUUCAGUAGCUGAGAACUUCUCUUUGCCCGCCAAGGAAGGUGGUGCGGCCGCCAGCUGCGGUUGCUCAGAGCCGCUUGGACAUCAGAGCAGUGCCGGCGCAGCCACUGCCAGACAGGGGUGUUGCGUUUAUCCUCUGGAGGAGCUGCUAGCCAUUGCCACGAACAAAGGGACUUUGUUCAGAUCCAUUCAACAUAACCUAUGAGAUGCGCAGAACACCGCAGUAGAGGCAGUGAGAAAGAAGUGUGUCUGGAAGGGAGAUAACUGCAAAGAGCUCUACAGCAGGGAAAAUAACAUCAUUGGAUCUGGGAAACUCUGCAGGGAUAAUGAAAACCUUCUUUAAACAUAGUGGUCACAGGGUAUGGGUUGCCACAUUCCUCACCCUCUGCAGCAGGAGAGGUUUGGUUCUGCUUCAUGGCAAAGGGGAAGCCUGUCUGUCUUUGAAGCUUUUGGACUCAACCAGCCGGCAUGGGAAGAACCACAGCUUGCUCCCACCAGUGGGUGCUGCUCCCCUUGACCUAAAACUGGCACUUGGUUACAAGGAGACCUGAAUGGAUGAAGGAGCAUGGGCAGAGGUUAAACCAGACAGCUUUGCUCUGAAGACUUUAAUACAACUGAGUCAAUCUGCCAUGGCUGGACCACACUGAUGUCAUUUGCACCAGCUCUGCAUGGCUGCAAGGAGGCAGGCUGACAGUGCAACACAUUGUGUUGCGGUUAGAACACGUGCAUGGGGUAGGAGUGAGCUCUAACACCUCCUAAUCAUAAUGCAAACUUAUGCUGAGUGCCCCAUGGACUGCCAGCUUCCUGAAGCCCCUGGUGCUGCGACACUGCUGUUUUGAUCAGCUACUAUGUGGUAUACAUUAACUAGCACACAUUAAUGUCCUGGGAUUGAUGGGGAAAUUGUGGUCAGACCCACCACAGCCAGAUACUUUUAGCUAGCCCAGAUUUGAUUAACCAGCACGUGUUACCAUCACAAGGCGUGAUGCCCAAUUUUAGACUUUGGCACAGGUCAGUGAUACAUUUUUUCUCCUAAACACCAUCUCUGAGAGCUACAAGACUUACUACCUGUGCUGUAGGAAAUGGGCAUUUUUUAUCAGGAACAUCUCAAUUUAGAAUUGCAGUGCCACCAAAGCAGUUUUUAGUGCUCACGUCAUCAAAGGUUAUCGAGAGCCUUGAUGUGAUUUCACUAGCUCAGACUGAGAACUUUUCUUGUGAGCAAAGGCAAUUUUAGGUGAAUAAUUACUGCAGCAAAGGUGAAGAUUUACUGGGGUGGCUCAGGAUGCUUCUAAUCCCCCUGAUGCCGGGAAGCAGGAUGCAUCACCAUGUUGUGUGUAUGUCAUUCAGCCACUGCCUCCUGCACUGUCUCACAGAUUGGGCUGUUAAUGCGGCUCUGAUUACAGCAUCCUAAGAGUGGCGGAUUUGCUUCCAUGUUCUUGCAUCACAGUAUUAACCUGCCCUGACAUUGCUUCCUUCCAGGGACCUGAGGUCAGUUCACUGCAGAGUUUACACCCAAGUGUACAACAGACAUAGAGGCACAUCUCAGUAACUUCUGUUCUGCAUAACAAGCCUUAGUUUCUACUCCUAAAUAUGUUGUGUGUGUAUGUGUGCAUAUAUAUCACAUGUAGAAUAUCACAGAUGCAGUGCUGUGUCUAUGUGUAUUAAGCCCCCCUUCCCCUUGUGUGCCUUAAUGGGAGAAAACUCAAGUGUAGUUCUGUUUCUGGUAUCGAGUCAUACCCACCACAGCUGGACAUAUUGCUACCACAUCCUGCUCAUUGGAGGAGACAUUCUGCAUAUUUAAAGCCUGUAAAUAAUUGCACAUUCGGUACUGUGCUGUUAAGAAAAACAUAUAAUGCUCUUGUAGUCUCAGCAACUUCAGUGUGUAAGAAGUCAGCAAAGCAGCUAGUGGUCCCCAGGCUCACGCAUCAAAGCAUUUAGCUGCUUUCACGUGAUUAUUGACAGAAAUGGCAACUUUUAUUUUAAAACCACCCAUGAUCUGAUCUCGAGAUCUAUUUGGAUCUUCAGUCCCCAUGGCAAUAGCAUCUUAAAUCCUGAAAAUAACAACGUUCACAGCUAUUUUGACUGGAUAAACCAGACGACACGCGCAUAAGGCUAAACAUAUGGGUACAUGUUUGCAGUGAGAGGAUUUCUUUUCAGCCAUGAAAGUAAAUAGCUAUUUUCUGAGCACACAGAGAGAUCUGCUCUACCGGGUCAAACGUGUCAAGUGCGGGAGUGCUAUUUUUACAUUGCCACUUUUUAAAGUAGGCCGGCAUUCAUCUUUUUGAAUGGCUUCCUGAUGGUAUCAGAUGUGUUCCGUGUACUGUGAACCCAUUCGGCUUUAAUCUUCUCAGCAAAAUACCACUGAAAUGGUGACAUGGGAGAGGAGAGGUAGCAAAAUGGAUCCUGGCCUCACUUUGUAUCUUUAUGUGUUUCCCCUUCGGACUGAAGCGUUUAAUCACAAUAGGAAGGCCUGUCGGGCUGUUUCUGUUACGCAUAGGAACCUGUUUUGAUUCCUGAUGCUGCCUCAAGUAUUUGGAGAUAGCAUAUGACAAUGCAAGAAUCAUCCAUUCAGGCAGUUUCUUUGCUCACAGCUCUGCCUUACUGAUGAACCUCAGCUUCAUCCUGGCUGUGUGGAUGAACCUUAUCCACAGGCCACUGGGAACCACAUGGAGCUCAUCUCCCUGUCACCUGGAGCCCAUCCCAACAAGAUCUCCAUUAUAGGAGAUAUAGGGCAUGGUGUCCCUCUUUGGUGCAGUGAUGACUCCAGUCCCAACAAAUUUCCCAUAACUACGUAUAUUUUCUAUAUUUAUGUCUUGAUAUGCUUAGACUCCCUAUUGGUUGUUCCCUCUUGUAAAGCCAUUGGUGCUUCUUGGAAGCACAUAUUGAUGGGUGCCUAUUACUUAUCAAGCUCUGUUGCAUGUAUUUUGUGGAGUCCCCUCAUGGAAACCAAGAGCUGCAGCCAAUGUGUAGGAAAAUGGGAAAAGAAAGGGUGAACCUCACACCAGUGGUGAUCAGUUAUCACCAUGAUAUCAGUUAUAUCAGAUAUAGAUAUCUAAUAUAUAUAUAGAUAUCUGAUAUAUAGAUAUAUAUAUAUCAGUUAUCAGUCAUGAAAGCCCAUUGUAACAGCAUUAUCAGGGGUUUCCAGGUGUAGGGUUUGAGAAUAACAUAAGAAUGAUACAGGGCAUUCAUUUGCAGCCUGGAGGCACUGUUACAGUUGACUCUAUUCCUGUCCCAGCAUUGUCUGAUGGACAGCAUCACUCCAAGGCAGUGAAAUCCUAACUGUUAUUAAAAAGGAUUCACCAA